GACGAACGCUGGCGGCGUGCUUAACACAUGCAAGUCGAACGGAAAGGCCUGCUUUCCCUUGUGGUUUGCGGGUACUCGAGUGGCGAACGGGUGAGUAACACGUGAGUCAUCUGCCCCCAACUUAGGUAUAAGCCUGGGAAACUGGGUCUAAUUCCCGUUAGGACUGCAGGGUGGUGCCUGUGGUGGAAAACGAUCUUCUAGUGGUUGGGGAUGAGCUCGCGGACUAUCAGGUUGGUGGGGGGGUAAAGGCCUACCACGGCGGCGACCGGUAGCCGGCCUGGGAGGGGGGACGGCCACACUGGGACUGGGACACGGCCCCGACUCCUGCGGGAGGCAGGAGUGGGGAAUAUUAGAGAAUGGGCGGAAGGCUGAUGCAGCGACGGCGUGUGGGGGAUGACGGCCUUCGGGUUGUAAGCUACUUGCGAACGAGAGGAAGCCACGUGGUUGGAAGGGUGGUGACGGUAGUGGUAGAAGAAGCACCGGCUAACUACGUG
rnacentral:rRNA from 1 species